rnacentral:rRNA from 1 species
UACGUAGGGUGCGAGCGUUAAUCGGAAUUACUGGGCGUAAAGCGUGCGCAGGCGGUCUGUUAAGACCGAUGUGAAAUCCCCGGGCUUAACCUGGGAACUGCAUUGGUGACUGGCAGGCUUUGAGUGUGGCAGAGGGAGGUAGAAUUCCACGUGUAGCAGUGAAAUGCGUAGAGAUGUGGAGGAAUACCGGUGGCGAAGGCGGCAUCCUGGACCGACAUUGACGCUGAACGGCGAAAGCUAGGGGAGCAAACGGG